ACGUAGGUGGCAAGCGUUGUCCGGAUUUACUGGGUGUAAAGGGAGCGCAGGCGGGAGAGCAAGUCAGCGGUGAAAUACAUGGGCUUAACCCAUGAACUGCCGUUGAAACUGUUUUUCUUGAGUGAAGUAGAGGCAGGCGGAAUUCCGAGUGUAGCGGUGAAAUGCGUAGAUAUUCGGAGGAACACCAGUGGCGAAGGCGGCCUGCUGGGCUUUUACUGACGCUGAGGCUCGAAAGUGUGGGGAGCAAACAG
rnacentral:rRNA from 1 species